CGGAUCAAUGCUACAUAUUUGGUGGUCUUGCCCUAGAAUUAAAUCUUUAUGGAACUUGACAUUCAGUCUUAUCCACUUAUUAGGGGAUAAACGAUUUGAACAAAAGUCAGAAUUGGCUUUAUUACAUAUAAUGGGUCCAAAUACGAAUCAAAUAUCUGAUAUGGCCCUUAUUCAUUGUUUAAUGGCAGCUAAGACCCUUAUAGUGAGACAUUGGCGAAGUAUUGAGGUUCCUACUAAGGUUCAUCUUAAAAACCAAGUGAUAUACCAAUUAGAGAG